AUUGAACGCUGGCGGCAUGCCUUACACAUGCAAGUCGAACGGUAACAGGUCUUCAGAUGCUGACGAGUGGCGAACGGGUGAGUAAUACAUCGGAACGUGCCUAGUAGUGGGGGAUAACUACUCGAAAGAGUGGCUAAUACCGCAUGAGAUCUACGGAUGAAAGCAGGGGAUCGCAAGACCUUGUGCUACUAGAGCGGCCGAUGGCAGAUUAGGUAGUUGGUGGGAUAAAAGCUUACCAAGCCGACGAUCUGUAGCUGGUCUGAGAGGACGAUCAGCCACACUGGGACUGAGACACGGCCCAGACUCCUACGGGAGGCAGCAGUGGGGAAUUUUGGACAAUGGGCGCAAGCCUGAUCCAGCAAUGCCGCGUGCAGGAUGAAGGCCUUCGGGUUGUAAACUGCUUUUAUCAGGAACGAAAAGCGACGGAUUAAUACUCUGUCGUGCUGACGGUACCUGAGGAAUAAGCACCGGCUAACUUCGUGCCAGCCGCCGCGGUAAAAC
rnacentral:rRNA from 1 species